UUCACAGCCGACCAACAACAGCAGACGAAGAGCAACAGAAUAAGCGACUGUGAUUGGUUGCUGGGUCUUAUAAAAACAACAGGGCGCAGUCUACCGUUAGCAUUAGCAGCAUGGAUGUGGAUCGAAUAGUACCCUUAAAGGUUCUCCACCGCCUCUGUAGUCCGUUACUGAGAGAAAGAAGCAGUCCGGGAGCCAACCACUCCACAGCCGAACAAACUGUUCGUUGUUCGGUGAGCUUUCGGGGCAGCGGUCCGGUCUGAUCACCGAGAAGAUGGCUACAUGAGAUGAGCUAACAUGCUAACGUUAGCUCCAGGCUCUGCUGUGGACUGAGGAGCAGAGUCCCUGUUUCUCAGGGGGGACCAGACCUCUGGCUGGCUGCUGACAGACCACUUUCUACACUGAGGGCUGAAGAUGGCCAUGGCUCCCAGCAUCUACACCCCCCACGUCACCUGAAUGGGAACUCUUCACUGGGUCCAGCUUCAAAGGAUCUGUGAUGGGAAACUGUCUAAUCCAGCCUAGAGAGGGGGACCAGACCUCUGGCUGGCUGCUGACAGACCACUUUCUACACGGAGGGCUGAAGAUGGCCAUGGCUCCCAGCAUCUACAACCCCCCCCCACGUCACCUGAAUGGGAACUCUUCACUGGGUCCAGCUUCAAAGGAUCUGUGAUGGGAAACUGUCUAAUCCAGCCUAGAGAGGUAACCUUUAACCUGGAGGAUGGUGGGAGCUGUUCAGGUGAUUAAUGUUCUUCUCUCUGAUUGGCUCUGACAGAACGGACUCCGCCUCCCGUGCGGUGAUGUCAGACCUCCCAACGCAGCGGAACUCCUGAGGGCUGACUCCACACCAGAAGGGAUGAAGUCUGGAUUUCCCAGUGAUCAGGCUAACCAGGCUAACAGCUAGCCUGCUCCUGACCAAUAAUAUCCAGCUAAAUAUUUGAAUGGUUCCCCCCUCUCUUAUUCACCCAUGUACCUGUGUACUUAUCCCAUUGGAAGUGUGUAAUGUUUGUAGUAUUUUCUGUAACCUCUGACCUGUAUGUACCCUCUAGCCCUCCUCCUCUAACCCGGCGUGGCUAGGGGUCUCUUGUCACACUGCCAUUGUUAAUGGGAACCGGUUGUUAAUGACUGGCCUGUAAAAAUAAAACUGAAGCAUCUCAACCAGACUAGAUUAGUCCUGGAGCAGAGGUUUCACCUGAUCAGUAUCAGCCUGCGUUAAAAUACUACUGGUGCAUAUUGUUCACUUAACUUCUGUUAUUAAAGUACCAAAAUAAAGUUAAAUAAUGCUUCAUGUGACAUUGCUACUGUUAUAUCGCUGUUCAUAUUGUUAGAAGGUUGAAUAUAUUACAGCAGUUGUUGAAGGCUGGAGUUGCCAAAUGUAUUUUUUUUUUUUUUUUUUUUAAAUAAGUCAGUUAUUAAGGUGUGUGUGUGUGUGUAGUAUUUUAGUGGAUUAAUU